rnacentral:lncRNA from 1 species
UCCAGAGCUGCUGGUCCUUGCUUCACCAAGAGGAACUGUUGUUGAAUGUUAGGAAACAAAAUCUAUGGAUCUGUGGAUCUGUCCCUUAGAGAUAACUACAGCUGCAAGAACUGCACUUCUGAAAGCAGUGAUGAUGAAGACCCUGUUCUGAAAGGUUACCUGCUAUUGGGCUAUUCUUCACUAACUGGUCGGCUUUUCCCGGUGCUCUAGCCUGUGCAGUAAGUGCAAGCCUGGAUAAGCCAAAUGGCUUAUCUACUCAGUCAGCUUCUUACUUUUUUAUAGCGUGAGGCCUGACGUAAAACACAGCCAAAUCAGGGGGAAUCUUUGAAUGGAGAUGACCAUAUUUUGAAUCUAGCGUUCUUGUCAUUCCAAAAAAGUCUGAACCUGCCAGAUCUUAAGCUCUGAGCAUGAUAGUUAUUUUGUUGUCUCUGCCCUAUUGUGGCACUUGCUUUUCAUUCACCUGCAUGAAGAGCAUCUGCCUCUGUCGUGCUCCGAGACCCGCGUGCUAAGCAGCAGCUGAUCAGCAGUUCCACGAUUCACCAACCA